rnacentral:rRNA from 1 species
UAAUACGUAGGGGGCGAGCGUUGUCCGAAGUUACUGGGCGUAAAGCGCGCGUAGGCGGGAGAUUAAGUGAGAGGUGAAAGGCUGGGGCUUAACCCCAUGCAGUGCCUCUCAUACUGGUCUUCUUGAGGGCGGCAGAGAGAAGUGGAAUGGCUGGUGUAGCGGUGAAAUGCGUAGAUAUCAGUCGGAACACCCGUGGCGAAGGCGGCUUCUUGGGCCGUUUCUGACGCUGAGGCGCGAAAGCCAGGGGAGCGAACGGGAUUAGAUACCCCGGUAGUCCUGGCCGUAAACGAUGGAUACUAGGUGUCGGGGGUAUCGACCCCUCCGGUGCCGCAGCUAACGCAGUAAGUAUCCCGCCUGGGGAGUACGGCCGCAAGGUUG